UAGCUUGCUAGUAUGUCAGCUAAGUGGCGGACGGGUGAGUAAUGUAUAGUUAAUUUGCCCCUUAGAGAGGGAUAACAGUUGGAAACGACUGCUAAUACCUCAUACUCCUUCUGUCUUAAUGAUAGUUGGGAAAUGUUUUUCGCUAAGGGAUAAGACUAUAUGGUAUCAGGUAGUUGGUAGGGUAAGAGCCUACCAAGCCUAUGACGCCUAGCUGGUCUGAGAGGAUGAUCAGCCACACUGGAACUGAGACACGGUCCAGACUCC
rnacentral:rRNA from 1 species